ensembl:snRNA U6 U6 spliceosomal RNA
GUGCUUGCUUUGGCAGCACAUAUACUAACAUGGGAAUGAUACACAGAAGAUUAGCAUGGCCCCUGCACUAGGAAGACACACAAAUUCGGGAAACAUUCCACAUUAUA